ensembl:lncRNA
ACCUUACAGAUCAAGCAGAGAGGCGCUUUGCUGCUGGCAGAGGCAACUCCUUUGUAUGUGGCAACACCUGCAAGAUUGCCAUGUUUUUAUUUUGAAUGCUUUUGCUGAUGUAGUGUCACUUUUGUGGAAACCAAACAGCUCUGAGGCAGGAGUAAAUUAUUAAUCUGCUCUGAUUUCCUUCCUCUACCACGUCUAUGUGUAUAACAGUUCUGCAUUGAGAUCACACCUGGGAUGCUGCUGCCUUCUGAAAUGUGACGAGUGGAAUCCUUUGGAGUUAUAACUGGUAUCGCGCACCAAGUUCGUCUGUUUUCCUUCUUCCUUAUGGAAAGGUCUCAUUAAAAGACUUCCCCUGCAAAUCACUCGCACAGCACACAGCUCACUCCUAGGGAUUCCCUGUGAGAAUGCUUGCAUUAAGCAUGAGCAGCACGGGGAGGGUAGGUAGGAAAUGAUAAUUCACUUAUUCAGACAGUAGAUGAAAGUACAGUACCGAGAUAAAUCACUUGGGAAAAGCUUCCUUGUAUUCUUUACUAAUAAUUCCCAGGAUCAUCUCAUCUGCUCUAUUUACAGCUCACUGUCCUUAUCCUUUCAUUUAUUUCUGCUUCAACGGCAAAAAUGUUUAACUUUUUUCUGUAGCUGUUUUAUCUGACAGUUUCUCAGCCACUGUGAUAACGACUUUUGUUUUAAGUGUUCCUAUUGAAAUACGCAGUUAUUUUUUUUAAUGCACCGAACCAUGUUGGCCAGGUCUGGGCUCUGCAAAAUGUUGUUGGUUUUUUGUUUUACUUUCUCUAUCUAUUCUUCAGUCUAGAUAGGGUUUCCCUUCAGUCUCCCCUGGAUUAAUGCUGAAGAUGUGAGCUGUCAAAGGGUAAGGAUGUAACAGUUCGAAUCCUGGGAACUCAUGGAUGCUUCCAGAUGUACAGCGGCCCAAGAAAGUGAAAUCAAGAAGUGAAAGCAAGAAAACUGCAGCCACAAAUUUCCA